rnacentral:rRNA from 1 species
GACGGAGGAUGCAAGUGUUAUCCGGAAUCACUGGGCGUAAAGCGUCUGUAGGUGGUUCGAAAAGUCCACUGUUAAAAAUUGAGGCUUAACUUCAAAGAUGCCGUGGAAACUUUCAAACUAGAGUAUGGUAGGGGUAGAGGGAAUUUCCAGUGGGGCGGUGAAGUGCGUAGAUAUUGGAAAGACCACCGAUGGCGAAGGCACUCUACUGGGCCACUACUGACACUGAGAGACGAAAGCUAGGGGAGCAAAUGGG